rnacentral:rRNA from 1 species
CCUACGGGAGGCAGCAGUAGGGAAUUUUGCGCAAUGGGCGAAAGCCUGACGCUGCAACACCGCGUGAAUGUUAAGCCCUUCGGGGUGUAAAGUUCUGUCAAUAGGGACGAAUUUUGAAUGUACCUAUACAGGAAGCACCGGCUAACUCCGUGCCAGCAGCCGCGGUAAUAGGGGGGGUGCAAGCGUUGGCCGGAUUCAUUGGGCGUAAAGGGUUCGUAGGCGGCAAGGUAAGUCUGAUGGUAAAGCCCGGGGCUCAACUCCGGGUCGGCAUUGGAUACUAUCUAGCUAGAAUGUGGGAGAGGUAAAGGGAAUUCCUGGUGUAGCGGUGAAAUGCGUAGAUAUCAGGAGGAACAUCCGUGGCGAAAGCGCGUUACUGGACCAUUACUGACGCUGAGGAACGAAAGCCAGGGGAGCAAAAGGGAUUAGAUACCCGAGUAGUC